GUAGGGAAUAUUGCGCAAUGGGGGAAACCCUGACGCAGCGACGCCGCGUGAGUGAUGAAGGCCUUCGGGUCGUAAAGCUCUGUUGCAGGGGAAUAAAAAAAUGAAGGUACCCUGUGAGGAAGGAUCGGCUAACUUCGUGCCAGCAGCCGCGGUAAGACGAGGGAUCCUAGCGUUGCUCGGAAUCAUUGGGCGUAAAGAGGGCGUAGGUGGCUUGGUAAGUCAGGUGUGAAAGCCCAGGGCUCAACCCUGGAAGUGCAGUUGAUACUGCUGAGCUUGAGUGUCGGAGAGGUUACCGGAAUACCUGGUGUAGUGGUGAAAUACGUAGAUAUCAGGUGGAACACCGGAGGCGAAGGCGGGUAACUGGACGAACACUGACACUGAGGCCCGAAAGCGUGGGGAUCAAACAGGAUUAGAUACCCGAGUAGUCC
rnacentral:rRNA from 1 species